UACGGGGGGAGCAAGCGUUGUUCGGAUUUACUGGGCGUAAAGGGCGCGUAGGCGGCGCAACAAGUCAGUUGUGAAAUCUCCGAGCUUAACUCGGAAAGGUCAACUGAUACUGCGGGGCUAGAGUGCGGAAGGGGCAACUGGAAUUCUUGGUGUAGCGGUGAAAUGCGUAGAUAUCAAGAGGAACACCUGCGGCGAAGGCGGGUUGCUGGGCCGACACUGACGCUGAUGCGCGAAAGCCAGGGGAGCGAACGGG
rnacentral:rRNA from 1 species